GCCUAACACAUGCAAGCCGAGGGGUAAGUCUCUUUCGGGAGAACACGACCGGCGCACGGGUGAGUAACGCGUAUGCAACCUACCUUUGGCACGGGGACAGCCCGGGGAAACCCGGAUUAAUACCCGGUAUAGUCUGUUAUACACCUGUAUAAAAGACGAGAGCUACGGCGGCCAAAGAUGGGCAUGCGUGCCAUUAGUUAGUUGGUAGGGUAACGGCCUACCAAGGCAUCGAUGGCUACGGGGUCUAAAAGGAUGAGCCCGCACACUGGUACUGAGACACGGACCAGACUCCUACGGGAGGCAGCAGUGAGGAAUAUUGGUCAAUGGGUGGAAGCCUGAACCAGCCAUGCCGCGUGCAGGAAGACGGCCUUAUGGGUUGUAAACUGCUUUUCUACGGGACGAACGGCUCUGACGUGUCAGAGAUUGACGGUACCGUAGGAAUAAGCAUCGGCUAACUCCGUGCCAGCAGCCGCGGUAAUACGGAGGAUGCGAGCGUUAUCCGGAUUUAUUAGGUUUAAAGGGUGCGUAGGCUGGGCAAUAAGUCAGUGGUGAAAGUCCGCGGCUCAACCGUGGGAUUGCCAUUGAAACUGUUGUUCUUGAAGUACAGUCGAGGUA
rnacentral:rRNA from 1 species